GGUGGCUCAGUGGUAGAGCACUGGCCUUGCAUGCUUAAGGCCCUGGGUUCAAUUCCUCAGCACCA
rfam:Dipodomys ordii contig_60732, whole genome shotgun sequence.